rnacentral:rRNA from 1 species
UGUGGUUUAAUUCGAAGCAACGCGAAGAACCUUACCAGGUCUUGACAUCCCCUGACAACCCAAGAGAUUGGGCGUUCCCCCUUCGGGGGGACAGGGUGACAGGUGGUGCAUGGUUGUCGUCAGCUCGUGUCGUGAGAUGUUGGGUUAAGUCCCGCAACGAGCGCAACCCUCGCCUCUAGUUGCCAGCAUUCGGUUGGGCACUCUAGAGGGACUGCCGGCGGCAAGUCGGAGGAAGGUGGGGAUGACGUCAAAUCAUCAUGCCCCUUAUGACCUGGGCUACACACGUGCUACAAUGGGCGGUACAAAGGGCUGCGAACCCGCGAGGGGGAGCGAAUCCCAAAAAGCCGCUCUCAGUUCGGAUUGCAGGCUGCAACUCGCCUGCAUGAAGCCGGAAUCGCUAGUAAUCGCGGAUCAGCAUGCCGCGGUGAAUACGUUCCCGGGCCUUGUACACACCGCCCGUCACACCACGAGAGUUUGCAACACCCGAAGUCGGUGAGGUAACCCGCAAGGGAGCCAGCCGCCGAAGGUGGGGCAAGUGAUUGGGGUGAAGUCGUAACAAGGUAGCCGUACCGGAAGGUGCGGCUGGAUCACCUCCUUUCUAAGGGGA